CAAAAUACUAAGGUAUGUGAGUUUCAAAUUUAUAAUCAUAUAGUUACCUAUGAUUACUACGAAUUACUAUAUUGGUUACCUUUCUUAAGUUUUUUGCACUUAAAAUGGUCACACAGUAAGAAUAAUGAAUGUUUUGAUUGCAAAAUGUAUUUGAAAAAAUGUUGUAUAUUAUGGUUACUAAGGUUAUAAAAAUUGGAUAUUGUCUAAUGUUGUCUUGGUUACUGACU
rnacentral:lncRNA from 1 species